rnacentral:rRNA from 1 species
GAUGAACGCUGGCGGCGUGCUUAACACAUGCAAGUCGAACGGGAAACCUUUUAUUGAAGCUUCGGCAGAUUUAGCUGGUUUCUAGUGGCGGACGGGUGAGUAACGCGUGGGUAACCUGCCCUAUACAGGGGGAUAACAACCAGAAAUGGUUGCUAAUACCGCAUAGGCGCACAGGGCCGCAUGGUCCGGUGUGAAAAACUCCGGUGGUAUAGGAUGGACCCGCGUUGGAUUAGCCAGUUGGCAGGGUAACGGCCUACCAAAGCGACGAUCCAUAGCCGGCCUGAGAGGGUGAACGGCCACAUUGGGACUGAGACACGGCCCAGACUCCUACGGGAGGCAGCAGUGGGGAAUAUUGCACAAUGGGGGAAACCCUGAUGCAGCGACGCCGCGUGAAGGAAGAAGUAUCUCGGUAUGUAAACUUCUAUCAGCAGGGAAGAUAGUGACGGUACCUGACUAAGAAGCCCCGGCUAACUACGUG